rnacentral:tRNA from 1 species
GGAGUAGUACUCAAGUUGGCUGAAGAGGCGCCCCUGCUAAGGGCGUAGACCGGGAAACUGGUGCGAGGGUUCAAAUCCCUCCUACUCCGCCA